CUGUGCCGGCAGCUUCCCAGUCAGAGCUGUGGGAGAAGCUACCGAGGCAGCUGUGAAAAGAGCUAACCUCCGGUCCGUGGGGAGUCCGUUGCCGCCAUCAUGCGAUGUUAAACUGAGGAAUUGGCCAGGUGUUCUUGAUUAGGAUGGCGAGCUAAGACCGGAACCUACAUCUUCAUCAUCUCACCCUACGGGUCUGGUAGGAGGCUGACACAGCCUGCCCCCCCACUCUUUCAAUCUUUUGCUGACUUUGUAACUGUGAUCAAAGCCAAUGGACACUAUUCCAAUGAACAAUACAAACGGAUACUACGCAAAGAACUCAUACUCUCAAACAUUGGAAAGUCAGUAAUAAGUGGACGCCACCCGUAUGGAGUACUUCUUUUCAUUUUCUUCCUUCUGUUGCUACUAACUCAUCUCGACCAACUAGAACUUAAAGUGCACUUACCUAUCG